GCCUGAUUCAAAAAAAAAAUAUAGAUUGCCUGAGCCUGGCAAGAUCUGUAAAAAUAAAAUGUGUCCACAGUGGGGGGAGAUUUAUCAAUUAGUCUGUUCUAAAAAAUGGUGCAAAAAUGGAAAAUAAAAGAUAAGUUCCUAAUAGAAUGUUCCUGCUGGUUCAUGGUGAAUGCCACACAUUUAAUACAUUAGACCACUUUUUAAAAAAGGGCACUUUUCCAAAUUUCCAGUCUUCCACUUACUUUCCUUGAAUUUCUUCUGCAAAAGAGAUUUAUUGCUUGCAAAAACCUUUGAUACACAUUUAUCUCUAGAGGAAAUUAUUGUAAAUCCCAAAUGGACCAUUCUACAGCUCAAAGCUUUUGGGGGCUUAAAACACGCAGUCGUCCUCUUUCAUAUCUAUACCAUCUUGGACAACAUGACAUACAUUUCAUAACAAAAUAUGUUCUUUCCCUCUGCCGUUACAAGUUACACUCUGCUCUGCAGCUUUGUUGUUGACGGUGGACUUUGCAAAUGAAUCCAAGUCACACAACACUGAGUGUAGUGUAACACAUGUCCACACAGUUUUUUAUGUAAAAGUUAAAGACAAAUGAGCAAGGCUGAGUAGGCGGCGAGGGCCCACAUGCCAAGUCCGGAGCCCAGAGGCCUGAAAUACCUCACUGACCUGCACAACCGCGGGAAACGCCGCCACAUGCCGGAUGCCUGGCACUUAGCCACACAUGAGCUUCUGACACCCCAGGCGCCAAGAGCUCUCAAGGACAGCGUUUGGCACCCAGAAGGGAUCGGAUGAGCACAGGCAGUGGAUCAGGGUCUGUCAGGCACACCUUGUUACAGCUGGACUUCCCCACCAUGCCUCUUUACACAAGAACUGAUCCCUGCAUACUUGCUAAAUGUAAUGUACCAAUUUUUGAACUGCCACCAUUUCACCCCUUGCAGAGUUCUUAACGUGGUUGCCUGCAUGUGUUUACCUAAACCGUAUUAUUUUACUAGCUAGUCUUAUCUACGGUGGCAAAUUAAGCUUGUUUUACAACCAGCGAUAACGCGGUUGGUCUAUUCCCACACUUAAAACCGUGCAACCAGUGCCUUUAGCAUGAACGCUCUCCUCCUCAACAAAGAAUUGUUAUAUGCUUAUAUAGCCUAGCAUGUUGUAUUACAAAAUGCUGAUGUCAAGCAUAUCGUUUAAUUUUUAUUUUUAAUGCGCAAUAUAGGCAUACAUUGAAACAACUAGCCUGCUUUACAUAAUACACUGUUACCUCUGCUAGCUUCACAUCUAGUUAAUUGAAUCACUGUGCUCUUAAUGCCUAUGUGUCACACUACACCCAAGCUGCACACCUAUAACCCUAAACGCAACUAGUUCUGUUCUAUGCAUGUCAUACCACAAAAAUGAUGUCUAAUAGUCUGAUGUCUUCAUGUAAUAUAAAAAAUGUGCCGUAUAAACUGUCACACCUUGAAAUGUCAUGGAAAUACUUGUAGAUGCUGUUGUGGCUCUGCAUGCUUUAUGUCAAACUAUGCACAAGAAAAAUAAAUAAUUUAAAAAAAAGAAACAAAGAAAUAAGUAUAAGGAGGCUGAGGUGGGGGGGUAAAAUGGAGAAAAGAAGAUUCUUAUAUUUAAAUCUAUUUUUGUUACUUUAUCAUACCAGCUAAGUAUUAGUUGAUCAGGAAACAACCACAAGUAGCAGACUAUUGCAAUGAUGCCAUAUACUCACAGAAUACUGGAGAAAAGGCAGAUGAGAUCUGUCUAAUAGCAAACCACACAGACCACUAGAUGAGGGGUAAGGUAACAUGUUAAGGCAAGUGCAAAAUGCUUACUAUUUGAUAAAAAAAAAAAAACACAUCAUGUUAAAUAUUUUCUAUUGUUUUCCAUAAAUAUUCAUUUGAAUGUGUCCAUCGAGCAUUUGACAAUAUAUGGUCUUUAGAUAUAGUAAUACCAUGGGAAGCAAUUUGAGGUGAGGGUGCAUUAUACACCUCUGUCUCUCAUGCAGGAUUUUAAACUAAAUUAAAUUAGGUUAAAAUAGCCAAGUUGUGACUAUAGCUGCAUUGAAGAAUAUUUAAAAAAAAUCUGGUAUUUUAGCCCAAAUUUUGCUAUUCGGGUUUCAGCUUGCUACAAUCUGUUUAUGGAAUAAGCCAUUCCUUUUGUUGACGUCUUUGUGUUAGAAGUUGAGUUAGAGAGAAAUCUAUGCUAUAUACUACUGCAAUCAAAACUUAUGAUAAAAGGCUAAAUUCCUAAACAAUUUCCAGCACAGAGGCAGGAAAAACUAGUCGCACCUCUUCAUUUAAAGGAACAUGACCAGAUUCACCAUGUUUACAGAGACACAUAUAAGUUUCUCAUAUUUAUGAAAACGCAUGAAAAGGGCUGCUCUGCAGUGUGUACAAUGCACAUUCUGCAUUAUUGCCUACUGCCUAAUUGCUUAAUUGCAGGAUUCUUUAUUUCCUAAUUGCAUAAUCCAAUACCCAUUCUUCUGAAUUCAUGUUGUCAGAGAAAACAUGGUGGAUCUGGUCACCUUGACAAAACACCAUAACCACUACAGCACACCGUAGUUGUUAUGGUGGCAGUAGUGCACUGGUGCCAUCACUGUUGGUAGACAAAAUGUUUUAGAACAGUUUUCACUUCUUAUCUUGGGUCCGCCAGACACCACUCUGUGCGCUUUUGGCAGC